rnacentral:tRNA from 1 species
GGAGAGUUGGCAGAGUGGAUGAAUGCGGCGGUUUCGAAAACCGCUGUGGCUGCAAAGCUACCAGGGGUUCGAAUCCUCUACUCUCCGCCA